ACUCCUACGGGAGGCAGCAGUGGGGAAUUUUGGACAAUGGGCGAAAGCCUGAUCCAGCAAUGCCGCGUGAGUGAAGAAGGCCUUCGGGUUGUAAAGCUCUUUUGUCAGGGAAGAAACGGUGAGAGCUAAUAUCUCUUGCUAAUGACGGUACCUGAAGAAUAAGCACCGGCUAACUACGUGCCAGCAGCCGCGGUAAUACGUAGGGUGCAAGCGUUAAUCGGAAUUACUGGGCGUAAAGCGUGCGCAGGCGGUUUUGUAAGUCUGAUGUGAAAUCCCCGGGCUCAACCUGGGAAUUGCAUUGGAGACUGCAAGGCUAGAAUCUGGCAGAGGGGGGUAGAAUUCCACGUGUAGCAGUGAAAUGCGUAGAUAUGUGGAGGAACACCGAUGGCGAAGGCAGCCCCCUGGGUCAAGAUUGACGCUCAUGCACGAAAGCGUGGGGAGCAAACAGGAUUAGAAACCCGUGUAGUCCCAUG
rnacentral:rRNA from 1 species